CAAAGGCUUGCUUUGACUCUCUUUUGCAGAUGGUUCAUGGAUAUAGAGUGUUAUAGACAUGUGCGGUGAACGUGGAUCGAACACGUGACCUUCAGAUCUUCAGUCUGACGCUCUCCCAACUGAGUUAUCCCCGCAACGGGUACACAACGACUUUGACUCUCGUUUGCAGAUGGUUCAUGGAUAUAGAGUGUAUAGACAUGUGUGGUGAACGUGGAUCGAACACGUGACCUUCAGAUCUUCAGUCUAACACUCUCCCAACUGAGCUAUCCCUGCAAUUGGUAACUCUCAUGUGUAGAAAUGAGUUGACGUGGAAAUUCUAAUAUGACGUGUGUUAAUGGGUUUAGGGAUAUACAUGAAAAAGAAGAACCAUAAGUGAUGUAUGUGACCUUUGCAAGUACACAACAAAAGACUUU